rnacentral:misc_RNA from 1 species
AGAAAACACCGGUUGUCUGCAGGUGCCAAAGGAAACGACAGUAUGGCCCUCUGACGUGGACUGUGCACCACAUUGGUGUUUGAUUCAAAAUGUUGUUCAAACUACACACGUCGGCCAAGUUGGUCACUUUGGGAUCAAGUGUGCAAAGUCUUUCAUUACGAUGCAGUCGUGGUCUGAAGAAUCCAGCAAGGUUCUUUUCCCAAAAGGCUGAACAGGAGGCACCAAAGGGAAUUCCUUACAAUAAACUCACCAUCGGAGUUCCCAAGGAAAUAUUCAAAAAUGAACGUCGAGUUGCCAUGUCUCCUGCUACUGUGACGGUACUGACAAAGAAAGGGUUCAACAUCAACAUUGAGGAAAAUGCAGGCCUGGAAGCAAAGUUCAAGAACGAUGAGUAUGCUAAAGCAGGAGCCAAAAUCAUUUCCAAGAAAGAGGCCUUUGAAUCUGACAUAGUCCUCAAGGUCAGGGCACCCAUGACGGAAGAGAUUGCAAACUUCAGGAGUGGUACCACCUUGAUCAGCUUCCUGUACCCCAAACAGAACCCCGAGCUUGUAAAACAGCUGGCAGAGCAAAAUCUCAAUGUAUUUGCCAUGGACAUGAUUCCACGUAUCAGCAGGGCUCAGGUUUUCGACGCCCUGAGUUCCAUGGCUAACAUUUCUGGAUACAAGGCAGUAGUGGAGGCUGCUAACAACUUUGGAAGGUUCUUCACAGGUCAGAUUACAGCAGCAGGUAAAGUUCCGCCCGCCAAGGUGUUUGUGAUUGGAGGAGGAGUGGCGGGUCUGGCUUCCAUUGGGACAGCCAAGGCUAUGGGGGCCGUGGUUAGAGCCUACGAUGUCAGACCGGCAGCUCGUGAACAAAUAGAAUCUCUGGGUGGCCAGUUCCUGGAAGUGUCUGUGCAGGAAUCAGGAGCUGGAGAGGGAGGCUAUGCUAAGGACAUCAGUGAAAUGUCACAGGAGUUCCAGGAGGCCCAGAAAGCUUUGUAUGCCAAACAGUGUGAGGAGUGUGAUGUCGUCAUUACUACUGCCCUCGUACCUGGCAAGCCAGCCCCUAAGCUGGUGUCAAAGGCAGUGGUUGACAGGAUGAAGCCUGGCUCUGUGAUUGUGGAUCUGGCAGCAGAGGCCGGAGGAAACUUUGAGACCACCAGGCCCGGUGAACUGUACAAGUACAACGAUGUGACACACAUUGGUUACACCGACUUACCCAGCCGACUCCCAACCCAGUCUAGUACUCUCUACUCCAACAACAUCUCCAAGCUACUUCUGUCCAUGGGUGAGAAAGAUCAUUUCAACAUCAACUUAGAGGAUGAAGUAGUGAGAGGAUCCAUAGUUGUACAAAAUGGACAGGUACUACCUCCUGCUCCUCCUCCCAAACUUGAUGCUGCCCCUGCAGCAGCAGCAGCCCCCACCAAAGUGGCUCCUCCUCCACCCCCAACCAAGUUCCAGACCACUAUGAAAGAUGCUAUUGUAUACUCCUCUGGACUAGGGGCCAUCACUGCUAUUGGUUGUAUUUCUCCUAGUCCUGCUUUUAUGUCCAUGGUUACAACAUUUGGAUUGGCUGGUAUUGUUGGUUACCACACUGUAUGGGGUGUGACACCAGCUCUCCACUCACCUCUUAUGUCUGUGACAAAUGCCAUCUCUGGAAUCACAGCUGUUGGAGGACUUCUGUUGAUGGGUGGGGGCUACACUCCCUCCAACACCAUCGAGACCUUGUCAGCCUUGGCAGCUUUUAUCUCCUCCAUUAACAUCGGAGGUGGAUUUACAGUCACUCAGAGAAUGUUGGACAUGUUCAAGCGACCAACUGACCCCCCUGAGUACAACAAGCUGUAUGCCAUUCCUGGGGGAGUGUUGCUGGGAACCUACGGCUAUGCUGCCUCCACCAAUCUGUUCCCAGACAUCCAUCAGGCCACCUACCUGGCUGCCUCCAUGUGCUGUGUGGGAGCUCUGACUGGUCUGUCCUCGCAGUCUACCAGUAGAAUAGGAAAUGCUCUUGGCAUGAUUGGUGUGUCAUCGGGAGUAGCAGCAACCCUUGGAUUACUGAAGCCAUCUCUGGAGAACUUCACACAGAUGGCAGCUUGCAUGGGUGCAGGUGGUCUGAUUGGUGUAUUGGGAGGCAAGAACGUGGAGGUGACUGACCUCCCCCAGAUGGUGGCCCUGUUCCACAGUCUGGUCGGAGCCGCCGCCGUCCUGACAUGCUUCGCUAACUACCUCCUGGAACAGCCUCACUUUGCUACUGACCCAGCAGCUAAUGUUAUCAAGACAUGCCAUGAACUUGGGAAUGUUGCUAGGUAAUGUUGGCGCCAUGGGCACCUUUAUGGUCAGUGACGACCCAACCACUCAGCUGGCCUGCCUGGGGACUACCACUGCUCUGUCCAGCAUCAUGGGAGUCACUCUCACUGCUGCCAUUGGAGGAGCUGACAUGCCUGUGGUGAUCACUGUACUGAACAGCUACUCUGGCUGGGCACUGUGUGCUGAGGGCUUCAUGUUGAACAACAAUCUGAUGACCAUCGUAGGUGCCCUGAUUGGUUCUUCUGGAGCUAUCCUCUCUUACAUCAUGUGUGUGGCUAUGAACAGAUCCCUAACCAAUGUAAUUUUGGGAGGUUAUGGAACAAAGUCCACUGGUACUGGUAAACCCAUGGAGAUCACAGGAACCCACACCGAGAUUGAUGUCCCAUCGGCUGUAGAGAUGAUCACUGAGGCAAGGAACAUCAUCAUCACCCCAGGCUACGGACUCUGUGUCGCCAAAGCCCAGUACCCCAUCGCUGAAAUGGUGGAGCUCCUCAAGAAAAAAGGGAUCAAUGUCCGAUUUGGAAUUCACCCUGUAGCAGGUCGCAUGCCUGGUCAACUGAAUGUGCUGUUGGCUGAAGCUGGCGUACCUUAUGACAUAGUGCUGGAAAUGGACGAGAUCAAUGAUGAUUUCCCUGACAAUGACCUUGUACUGGUCAUUGGAGCCAACGAUACCGUCAACUCAGCAGCUGAGGAGGACCCCAACUCCAUCAUUGCAGGAAUGCCUGUGCUGAGGGUCUGGGGAUCCAAAAAUGUAAUUGUGAUGAAGAGAACACUUGGAGUGGGCUAUGCAGCUGUAGACAAUCCCAUCUUCUUCAAGCAGAACACCAGCAUGUUGCUUGGUGACGCCAAGAAAACUUGUGAUGCUUUACUGACGAAAAUCAAGGAGCACUAUGGAGAGGCUUAAUGCAGAAGAGCCUUAGACUUUCAUUAAAGUAUUUUUCAAAUUUAUAAAAAGAUUGAUCAUGUUUGUGAAAUUCUUUAGCGAAAACUGAAUUUGUAACUUUGGCAGUGCCAGAUAUUUUGAUACAAAUAUAACAGACAGUGCCCUGAACAUGACUUUUGUGUUUUGAAUGAAACAUCAAGGCUUUUGUAACUACAUGUAGAUGCUUGCAUUGUGCCAAAGGUUCUCCUUAUAGAGACUAUUACCUCCUCAAUCAAUUUUGUUGUGGAUAUUUGUGGUGAGAGAUCUGAGACUUUGAUUUAAUAAACAUUUAUAAAUAUC